AACGAACGCUGGCGGCAUGCCUAACACAUGCAAGUCGAACGAGACCUUCGGGUCUAGUGGCGCACGGGUGCGUAACGCGUGGGAACCUGCCCUUAGGUUCGGAAUAACUCCCCGAAAGGGGUGCUAAUACCGGAUAAUGUCUUCGGACCAAAGAUUUAUCGCCUUUGGAUGGGCCCGCGUUGGAUUAGCUAGUUGGUAGGGUAAAAGCCUACCAAGGCGACGAUCCAUAGCUGGUCUGAGAGGAUGAUCAGCCACACUGGGACUGAGACACGGCCCAGACUCCUACGGGAGGCAGCAGUGGGGAAUAUUGGACAAUGGGCGAAAGCCUGAUCCAGCAAUGCCGCGGGAGUGAUGAAGGCCUUAGGGUUGAAAGCUCUUUUACCCGGGAUGAUAAUGACAGUACCGGGAGAAUAAGCUCCGGCUAACUCCGUG
rnacentral:rRNA from 1 species